CCUACGGGAGGCAGCAGUGAGGAAUAUUGGUCAAUGGACGAGAGUCUGAACCAGCCAAGUAGCGUGAAGGAUGACUGCCCUAUGGGUUGUAAACUUCUUUUAUAUGUGACUCAAAUGUUCCACGUGUGGGCUUUUGUAUGUACCAUAUGAAUAAGGAUCGGCUAACUCCGUGCCAGCAGCCGCGGUACUACGGAGGAUCCGAGCGUUAUCCGGAUUUAUUGGGUUUAACGGGAGCGUAGGUGGAUUGUUAAGUCAGUUGUGAAAGUUUGCGGCUCAACCGUAAAAUUGCAGUUGAAACUGGCAGUCUUGAGUACAGUAGAGGUGGGCGGAAUUCGUGGUGUAGCGGUGAAAUGCUUAGAUAUCACGAAGAACUCCGAUUGCGAAGGCAGCUCACUGGACUGCAACUGACACUGAGGCUCGAAAGUGUGGGUAUCAAACAGUAUUAGAUACCCCUGUAGUC
rnacentral:rRNA from 1 species